GAUGAACGCUGGCGGCGUGCUUAACACAUGCAAGUCGAACGGUGAAGCAGAGCUUGCUCUGUGGAUCAGUGGCGAACGGGUGAGUAACACGUGAGCAACCUGCCCCUGACUCUGGGAUAAGCGCUGGAAACGGCGUCUAAUACUGGAUAUGAGCUGCGGCCGCAUGGUCAGCAGUUGGAAAGAUUUUUCGGUCUGGGAUGGGCUCACGGCCUAUCAGCUUGUUGGUGAGGUAAUGGCUCACCAAGGCGUCGACGGGUAGCCGGCCUGAGAGGGUGACCGGCCACACUGGGACUGAGACACGGCCCAGACUCCUGCGGGAGGCAGCAGUGGGGAAUAUUGCACAAUGGGCGAAAGCCUGAUGCAGCAACGCCGCGUGAGGGAUGACGGCCUUCGGGUUGUAAACCUCUUUUAGCAGGGAAGAAGCGAAAGUGACGGUACCUGCAGAAAAAGCGCCGGCUAACUACGUG
rnacentral:rRNA from 1 species